CUGGGUUGCCAAGGGUCGCAAACUAGCGCACUGCACUCUUGGUCACUCUUCGCGGUUGCCGUGAAUCUUGGGAUGGUUGGUCUUUGUUGACACGCUGGAAUCUCGCUAAAGCACCAAGGCAAUACUGCUCCGCCGUUAUCGAUAACACAUGAUUACUUUUGGCGCGCAAGCGGCCGCACGCACUAGUGAUGCUCGCUAGCUGGCGCGUUUGUAGAACCGUCCAAAACUCUAGCUAAAGUUUGAAAGUUAAAUAUGACCUUUUUUUAACGGAAAUAGAACUAUGUCAAUAUAAUAUAUAGCCUAAUAUAUCUUUUGAGGUCAUCUGUG